CGCGUGAUGUCAGCAAUACCUAGGUAACCCUUGAAUAAACUACCCUUGUUGCUUUGGCGGGCCGCCCCUCGUGGCCAGCGGCUUCGGCUGCUGCGCGCCCGCCAGAGGACCACAACUCUUGUUUUUAGUGAUGUCUGAGUACUAUAUAAUAGUUAAAACUUUCAACAACGGAUCUCUUGGUUCUGGCAUCGAUGAAGAACGCAGCGAAAUGCGAUAAGUAAUGUGAAUUGCAGAAUUCAGUGAAUCAUCGAAUCUUUGAACGCACAUUGCGCCCUUUGGUAUUCCGAAGGGCAUGCCUGUUCGAGCGUCAUUAUAACCACUCAAGCCUUCGCUUGGUAUUGGGGUUCGCGGUUUCGCGGCCCCUAAAAUCAGUGGCGGUGCCUGUCGGCUCUACGCGUAGUAAUACUCCUCGCGUCUGGGUUCCGGUAGGUUGCUUGCCAGCAACCCCUAAAUUUU
rnacentral:rRNA from 1 species